UAAUACGGAGGGUGCGAGCGUUGUCCGGAAUCACUGGUCGUAAAGGGCGCGUAGGCGGCGCGGUAAGCGUGCGGUGAAAGCCCGGGGCUCAACCCCGGGUCGGCCGUGCGGACUGCCGGGCUCGAGCACUGUAGAGGCGGGUGGAAUUCCGGGUGUAGCGGUGGAAUGCGUAGAGAUCCGGAAGAACACCGGUGGCGAAGGCGGCCCGCUGGGCAGUGGCUGACGCUGAGGCGCGACAGCGUGGGGAGCAAACA
rnacentral:rRNA from 1 species